rnacentral:rRNA from 1 species
CUACCGGGGUAUCUAAUCCUGUUUGCUCCCCACGCUUUCGCGCCUCAGCGUCAGUUUCGGACCAGUUGGCCGCCUUCGCCACCGGUGUUCUUGCGAAUAUCUACGAAUUUCACCUCUACACUCGCAGUUCCACCAACCUCUUCCGAACUCAAGACUCCCAGUAUCGAAGGCAAUUCCAGGGUUGAGCCCUGGGCUUUCACCUCCGACUUAAAAGUCCGCCUACGCGCCCUUUACGCCCAGUGAUUCCGAGCAACGCUAGCCCCCUUCGUAUUACCGCGGCUGCUGGCAC